rnacentral:rRNA from 1 species
AUUGAACGCUGGCGGCAUGCCUUACACAUGCAAGUCGAACGUGAAAGCGGGGCAACCCGCAAGUAGAGUGGCGGACGGGUGAGUAAUACAUCGGAACGUGUCCAGUAAUGGGGGAUAACCUAGCGAAAGUUAGGCUAAUACCGCAUACGAUCUGCGGAUGAAAGCGGGGGAUGCGGCACUAAAGGCUUUUGGCGAAGGUGGCCAAAGGUGAGUCAAGAGCUUUUAGUGCNGCACCUCGCGUUAUUGGAGCGGCUGAUGUCUGAUUAGCUAGUUGGUGAGGUAAAGGCUUACCAAGGCGACGAUCAGUAGCUGGUCUGAGAGGACGGCCAGCCACACUGGGACUGAGACACGGCCCAGACUCCUACGGGAGGCAGCAGGUGGGGAAUUUUGGACAAGUGGGGGCAACCCUGAUCCAGCAACGCCGCGUGAAGGAU